rnacentral:lncRNA from 1 species
AAAGUAUAUUAAAACAAGAAUGUGUCCAAAGUACACGGAUGCCCCACUCGCACUAUCCUUUUCCAUGUUCCAUGGACUGUAAAAAUUGGGUAAUAAUCUAAUUUGGCAUUAAAAUUAGAAAGAUUAUACUAUAGGGAACAUAUGUACUAAGUUUCAAGUUGAUUGGACUUCAAUUUCAUCAAAAACUACCUUGACCAAAAAACUUUAACCUGAAACUCCCACUUUCAUUUUCUAUGUUUAGUGAAUCGUGAAAUUGGGGUCAAAAGUCUAAUUUGGCUUUCAAAUUAGAAAGAUCAUAUCAUAAGCAACAAGUGUACUAAGUUUCAAGUUGAUUGGACUUCAGCUUCAUCAAAAACUACCUUGACCAAAAACUUUAACCUGAACGGACGCACAGACGAACGAACGGACGAACGAACGAACGAACGAACGAACGGAAGCACAGACCAGAAAACAUAAUGCCCCUCUACUAUCGUAGGUGGGGCAUAAAAA